UUCGUUGAAAUUUUUUAAAAUUGUAGUGCAAUGUUACAAAAACACAUAUUGUUGCUUCAAAACAUCAUGUUAAAAGUUUUUUAUUUCUUUCUAAUAAAAAACUUGCACCACACAUUUUGUUUUAAUUUUUAAAAUAAAUCAAAUUUGAUGCGUCUUUUAUUUCUUUUUCUUCGUUUGUGUGUAAGUAUGUUAUGUUCCUCUUAUAUGUGCAUUUUUG
rnacentral:lncRNA from 1 species